rnacentral:lncRNA from 1 species
AAAAACAUGCACAACCAAACAAGAUAAAUAGCAAUACUGAUGCAUGUGUAUAUAUAUCUACCAUGAACGUAUCACAGUGAAACUGUUGCUAGGUAAAAGCAAGAAAAGCAUCUAAAAUAAGAGGAAAUACAGUUUGCUCAAAGAGCUAGGAACAAUAAUUUAUAGCCAAUUCAAUAAAAUAUGGAAAUGGAAGACUGUAUCUUCCAAACUAGAUUUCUAAACUCAUCAAAAAUACUCUUCAUGAGGGAUAUUUUGGAGAUAUAUGCAUGCCAGAUAUCCUUAGAACACGUAGGUUUCUCUAGUUUUGUUCCUCAUGUCUGACACUUGUUUUGUUUGAAAUAUCUUAUCAGUUGAAACUUAAUUAGUAUUUUGUUUGGUCUUAUCUCUAGCAUACCAUAUUUUCUCUGGUGUGAUUUUCAGUGAUUUCAAAGAUCUUCUGUCAUUACUUUCAUGAUGAUUAAAAUAACUUAAACCUAUUAAAAUGACUUCAUUAGAUCUUCAAAUUCACCUUCUACUAAUACACACACACACACACACACACACACACACACACACACUUAUUUUGUUGUUUUUGGUGAUGUGUGUGUGAAUUAUCUAGGGUUGUUUGUUUGUUUGUUUGUUGUGAAUUGCAUAUGUGAUGCCAGCAUUUGCUUUUGGUUCAUUAUAAUCUUACUAAGCUUGUAAGUCAGUCAGUAGUGGUAGAAUCUUAAAACACUGUUCACUGUUUGUUUUUUUUUUUUUUUUUUCAAAAGCACAGCCACUCUAAAUUUAUCUGAAAGCCUACAGGACAAUGACUUCCAUUUCUAUGUCUCUUCUUUCCAUCUGGCAAUUUUCUUUUUUUUUCCUCUUCUCUUCUUUCUCUGGUUUAAAGUAACUGUUUAUAGAAUUUCAAUUCCACAGUUAGAACUCACUUCGAUACAGCUUUAGAACUGCCUUGGAAUAUGUAUGUUGUUUCAUUGUAAUUUCUACUUUAAUAUCUUUUAAUGAAUGUAUUCUUUGACACUUUCACACAAGUCAGUAAUGUAUUAUUGCUGCUGUUCCCCAUCCACCUUUUGAAUUAAUUGUUUUUGAAGGAUGCUUUUCCUGAAAGCCUUCAUUCCUCCUUUGAGAUAAAUGUGGAGUUUCUUGGUGUUGUGUGUAUAUAUAUAUACACACACACACAUACACACACACACACACACAUUUGUGGCUUUACCAUACAGUAUACAGAUGAUACCUUUGCAAGAUUUUCACACAUGUGUUUAUCUCACUGAGACUUCACUGAGGCAAUUUCAACUCCUUAGCCAUAUGUGUCCAAACACUGAUUUUCUUCACAUGCUCACCUAUGCAGUAGAUCAAUUUCCUCUGCCAUAGGCAUAUACACAGUGCCCCUCCAUCUUUUAUGUGAUUUCCAAUAAUUCCACGUUUUCUAGUGAUAUUUUCGGCUCCACUGACCCUGUUUUCUAUGGUGUCUAACAGGACAAGUCUUGAUCAUAUCCUUUGUAUCAGUUGUAUAACUUGAGCAUUGUAGAGUACUUUUAUAACUCACCAUUUCUCAAUGAAAUCGAUUCGUUGCAUGUGUUUUCUUCCAUUCUCUAUGUAUUUUUCUUAAAAAAAAAUAACUAUAGGUAUGCUUAUUAUUACCUUUCCUGUUAAUUAAAAUCUCCAGCCCAUUUCACAGGGAUUUUAAUAACAUUUUCAGACUGUCCUGUUUUGCCAUGUCUAGUUUUUCUUCUGAUUACUAAACACAAUCUAUAAAAUAUUCAGGUUUACUGAUCCUAGGAACGCCUCCAGCCCCCACUGAAUGGCUUGCUAAGAGGAAAUGGUGUCAGCCUGGGUUAUAGAUACUCUUCUUUGCCCUUGAACUGAACAUGUGCAUACAGGGUUGCUGGCUGGUUUGGGUUCUUCCCUCUGUGGGCCUCUCUCUAUAGUUUGUGUCUCUCCCAGUGUAGGGCCUUCCUUAAAGGCUAUGCAGUCUCAGGAUCCGUUCAUAGUCUUCUGUAGCUUUGGAUCUUUCGUUCUCUUAAUUCGUCAGCUUUAGUUUGUUCUUCUUAGGAAAAAACAGACACCUCUCUUUGGUUUUUUGAUGUUGUUACAAAUAGUGAUAAUAAUAAUAAUGUAAUCAAUUUUAUUGGUUUCUGUACCAACAAAACAGACUGCUGCUGCCUAGGUAAAUCAUAGUUGAUGUAUUUUCAAAUGGACCCAAUGUAUGUAACAUCAGCUCAUCUUCACAAAUGUUUAUUUUCUCUCAGUCUUGGUGCUUAACGCUUCAGCAGCAACUUAGAUCUCUGAAAACUGUAACCCAAGAUGAAGAGCUGCAGACAAAUUAGUAGCUGCUGAGAGAGGAAGAAUAAGGUUUCUCCAGGGAAGACUCUCUGAUAGGUUACACAAUCUGAAACAGUUCCAAUAAACACACAAGCUUAUGGGCAACAACAAAGGACUUAGAAAGCUAGGCUGGACUUCCAUAAAGAUUAAAGGCUAUGUGUCAUUUGUACUGUAACAUAUGUUAUUUAUUUGUAACAGUAAUUAAUGAGGAGUAGGUCAGGUAUUUGAAGGACAGUGGAGAGAAAGAGAGGUAAAAUAUUUUAAGUACAGUUAAAAAUUUUGAAACUAUCCUUGUUGCCCUUUGAAUUUGCCAAUCAAGCUCAUUUUAGCUAAUUUGGGGGUGGAUCAUAUUGAAUAAUAAAACAAGUCAUGUCUUACAAUCAACUAUUUCCUGCUUUCUUUCUUAAACAAACAACAAAAUAACCAGUCUUAUUAUAUGAAAAACAAAUUUCAAAACAAUAUCUUUUACAUAAUAAACAACAUUAGAUAAUUUUACUCAAUUUUAAAUUGAGUAGGUUUAGAAAGAUUUAAGAGUUCUGGCAAUGUAGCCUGUUGCAAUACAUUAUUCUGGGGACACAAUGAUUAGAAGUCACAAUUAGUGAAGUUAGUGUUAACACUGCCUGCACUGUAACAUUGGACAAAUACUAGAUUUUUUUACAUUUCAGCAUUGCAAUCUAUAAAAUGAAGAAAUGUAAGCUUUACAUGCUAUUAUGGGUGAAAAAAUGAAAAUACACUUGUCUGUACUAAAUUCUGUUUACAUAAUGUCUCACAUUUGUCUGCUAGACAACAUAGCUCAUAUUGGAAAUUCUGAGAGGAAUGGUGGAUUCAUGAGUCUACCACUCACAGAGAUUCCAACUCCUUCUUUUAUUUUGACUCUACUUAAGGUAUGAUUCCGGGACUCAUCCUUACCCAUUUAACUCCAAAAUAUAAUUAGCAUGAAGACAAAGGUAAUUAUUGAGUCAAAGUUAUGCUAUCCAUGUGUUUUUUUGCCUCACUCAGUUCUCAGAAGUGUGAAAAUCAACAAAAGCCUCAAAAGUAAAACCUUAUCAUUCAUAACUAUGAUCCCUGAGAGCCUAUAGAAACAUGCAGUCCAUUUUCCCAAAUAUUUUCAAAACCGUGUCAGUAGUUUUAUACAUGGGUUGAAAGAUUACUAUAAACU